UACGAAGGGUGCAAACGUUGCUCGGAAUUAUUGGGCGUAAAGCGCACGUAGGCGGCUUUGCAAGUCCCAUGUGAAAUCCCACGGCUCAACCGUGGAAGUGCAUGGGAAACUGCAGAGCUUGAGUACUUAAGAGGAUCGCGGAAUUCCCGGUGUAGAGGUGAAAUGCGUAGAUAUUGGGAGGAACACCAGUGGCGAAGGCGGCUCUCUGGGACGGUACUGACGCUGAGACGCGAAAGCGUGGGGAGCGAACAGG
rnacentral:rRNA from 1 species